GUGCUCUCUUCAGCAGCACAUAUACUAAAAUUGGAAUGAUACAGAGGUUAGCAUGACCCCGUGCAAGGAUGACACACAAAUUCAUGAAGCAUUUCAUAUAAAG
ensembl:snRNA U6 U6 spliceosomal RNA